CGCAACGUAAUCACCCCGCCUCUUCACUCCUUUCUAUAAUCAUUUAAUUACCCAUGAACGAUUGCUGAGCCAAUUACCUCUCAAAAUCUCUACUUGAGAAAUUGCGAAAGAAGACAGUAGAGGAAAGAAAAGGGUUUCAAGUUUAGGUGCGAUUGAUUGGGUUUUGCUAUGAGGAAGAAGAGGACGAAUUUGUGGCUGGGUUAUUGAGUUUGUUUGGCAGCACAGGAAAGCUCAAACAACUUUUAAGAGAAGGUACCCUCCUUUUAAUCUAUAACAAAAGACUUGAUUUUCACAGGUUAGUAUAAUUUUUUCUUUGCUGCCUCAUUCUUCUUCUACCUGUUCUGUUGUUCUCUCUCGCUUUCUCCGCUCUCCUCUUUCCUCAAAUUUGAGAGACCCCUCUCUGCACGAUGUCGUCUUUGUGUACGUUUAUCUUCCAUUUAGACUGAUUUGGAGUUUCGAUUGUGAUAUUGGUUUCCAUGAGCAAGUAAAAGAGAGCCAAUUCUGGGUUAUUGAGUUUUUGAUGUGAGGAAGAGACUGGGCUGAGACAUGAGAAGAGAAAUCUGGGUGUUGAAUGUCCAUCGACUUCAGUUGCAAACCAUGGGAACAAGGAGACCAAAUAGUGUAUUGCAGAUAACAAAAUUGCUGGUGGCGGAUGCUUCUAUACUCAGCAUACUUCAAGCAAAUGAGGAAGAAGCUACAAAGCUAGCUCUGAAUCUGCCAGACUGAUAUGUUACAGGUAACACAAAACUAAAAUUUAUAUUACCAACUUAUAUUCACAUAUGAAUUGUCGACAGUCCUUCCUGUGUGUAUUUUAUGGAAUGGAUUUUGCUCUUCUGUAUGCAGUUUUACAUCUUGACCAAUAUAAGUAAUUCCCGGCAAAGGUUUAAAUGUUUGGAAGGUUAGAGACUUUAUAAUGUUGAAGCAGAUGGAAAAAGUGAAAAUGGGGUUUUUAUUAAAGAGACUUCUGCGGAAGUUCAAGUGUUUGAGAGGUUAGAGACCAAAGGAAUGAAGGAAAAAUAGGGAAUGUGGCAUUUACUUCUCUGCACAAUAUAUAAUUUUUGGCUUCCAUUUGUACUGGUGGUGAUGACUUAUAUUACAAUCAUGAUUCGUACUUGCCAACACUUUCCAAUCUAUUACUAUAGUUAUAAGAAUAUCAGUGUUUUGAAAGAAAACAAAAACAAAAAAAACAAAAGUACACCAUUUACAUUUACAGAGAGA